UGGCUUUGAUCUGCGAUGCCCAAAAUGACCUCUCUAAGCUAAGUGGUUGUAUGAUGACGCUCUUUUUACUGCUCGUUUUUACUAAUCUAUCUAUAAAUAAUAGGAGAGGCAAAAACAUGUAAGAAUGACAAGUGUCGUCACCGUAAAAUAAGAAUUUAAAAUACAAAAUAAAAAUAAAUAAAAAACUGCAACAGUUGAAGAAAAACUUCAACAAGCAAAUUACUAUUACUCAACAAAUAAAAAAGAAAACUGCAAUAGAUAGAAAACAAUUAAAACCGCUCAUUCAGGAAAAAAAUUAAUACUUCCUCCUAUUUGUUUGCAGCCGUAAUAGUUUACCACGAUCUCAUUUAUUCCAAUCUUUUUCCAUGUUUGAACUCCUUUUUUUUAGGGAGUAAAAGUUUUGAAUUUUCUAAAUGCAUAUCCUGAAUCUGCAAUAACUAAAAGAGUCAGCCAUUAAAUAAACAGUUUUCAUGAGUAAACUAGAACAGUUUCCAGGACUACCGCAUAUUUUCAGGAAGAAAAAAAAUGUUGCUCUUCACGUCUUCAAUUUCAUUGGUACGACAACUAGAGAAUGAAUCAACAAUCAACAAAGGAGAAGUAUUCAAACUCAACAUCAAUCUUAUACACGUCUAAAUUUCUCUGUAUUUGAAUAUCGAUGCCACACCUUGAACGGAAUCAAUACGUUUUCCGGCCAUUACUCUUACUUCACAAGAUAUGGGUUAAAAAUUUCAUAUUUCAAGCGAGAUUUCAUGUUUUCAUUUCAGAUUCUACUGAUCGAUUCCGCAAUUUUAGGUUCUCAAGAAAAGGCGAAGCAAUUUUUGCUCUGUUUCGCAAAUCCAAACCAGAAAGUUGUGUGUGUGUGUGUGUGUGUGUUUUUAAAGAAUCUACAACUAAUAUCAGUACAGUUGGACUUGCUUAGAAGAACGCUAUGCAGUACAGAAAACUCGGAGAUUGAUCUUCAUAUCAGGGAAAUUACUGUUGGAACUAUUCAAAUGCAGCGGACUAUAUAAUGAAUGAUAUAUUAGUAUAUGUAUAUACUUUAACGAAGAUGAGCCUAAGUUCCGAAGAGAAACAGAGCAAAGAGAAGCAUGGAGGGGAUUUUUUUGCCUUACGACAAUGCUCCCAAUCAUCGACAUCAUCUAAACUCGAGAGAGGUAUAUCUAAGUCCAAUUCUUCUGUAAAAUAUGACUGUAGGUUUGGGAUGCAUAGAUGCUUAUUUAUUUUCUUGCUAAUUGCAUAUGAUUAUCUUAUCAUGUUUUUCCCACCUCUCAGAAGAAUUGAGAAAUCUGGCACACAGGAUGGGCUAGCAUGCAGCUUUGUUUCAAAAUAUAUCAUCCUUUUAAUUUACCAGUCUUAUGAUCUUGAUUUUUACCAGAGAAAAUGCUUAUGGAAUUCCAAUAAGCUCAUUGCUUGUAGGUUGUGCGGUUCUCCUUCAUGAUUAUGCAAAGGUUGGUUCUUGGCGUAUUAGCCACUCAUGCACAGAGAAUUGGAUAGUCCAAGACAAUGCAUAAAUAGCAUCUGCAUAAAGAAGUACUUAUAGUUGUGCAUCAGUAUUUAAGUACUCAUACAUACUUUGUGCUCUUCGUAUAAAAAAGAUUUCCAUUUCCAUUUCAAGAAUAUCUUAGUGCCUUUUGAAGGACAUUUUAUUAUUAUACCUAUGAAAUAUUUCAAAGAUUGUGCAGAGUAUUGACAUAAAAACUACAAAGGCGGUCUUAAACUAUACUUUACUUAGAGAAAAUGGAUCUUAAGAAUGUAAAUAUUCUUUCAUUGUGUGCAAAAAAUAUAUCUAGAGUAUUUUUUGGUUCGAGAAGAUAGCCAGCUAAGUCAAACUGAUUUUAUAUUUUAAAAAUGAGG